rnacentral:snRNA from 1 species
AUAAGUUUUCCGCGUAAUUACGC